AUCCUUUUGUGGUUUGUAAGAAUGAUGAUUGUGUUUUACACUCAAGAUGUGCCUUCCUCAAACCUUAUUACCAUGUUGGCACAUUACCUGUGUGAUG
ensembl:snoRNA